GUCUCUGGGCAAUUUAGGAAUAUUCUGUUAUUCGUGCAUACAGGGAUACUUGUGAGUAUCCAGGACCUCUAUACCAGGUGGUGUCAGAGGAAGGCCCAAACAAUUGUCAAAGACCCCAACCACCAAAGUCAUAGUGUGCUCUCUGCAACUGAACGGCAAGUGGUACCGAUGCACCAAGUCUGGAACCUACAGGACCCUGAACAUCUUCUACCCCUAAGCCAUAAGACUGCUAAAUAGUUAGUCCAGAUAGUUAAAUAGUUAACCAAAUAGCUAUCUGCAUUGACCCUUUUUGCACUAACUCUUGACUCAUCACAUACGCUGCUGCUACUGUUUAUUAUCUAUUCUUAUUUAUCCCCAGGUAUAUGUACUGUACAUAUCUACUUCAAUUACCUUGUACCCCUGCACAGUGAGUCGGUACUGGUACUCCGUGUAUAUAGCCAAGUUAUCGUUACUCAUUGUGUAUUUAUUCCUCAUGUUAUUAUUUUUCUCUCUGCAUUGUUGGGAAGGGCUGUAAGUAAGCAUUUCACUGUUUCUCUACACCUGUUGUUUACAAAGCAUGUGACAAAUAAAAUUUGAUUUGAUUUGAAAGGCCUUAAACGUCUUAUCCUGAUAAGACCUUAACCGGGAUAUGAGCCAACUUUGAAUGUGUGUAAGCUGUAACGAACACAAUGAGGGCGUCUGCUAAAAGACUAAACUAUGACGAAUCAGAAGUGAAUGAUUUUUGUUUCCUCAUUUCUUCUCUGUUAAUUCAUGAUUGAACAAACAAGACAUAUAUAAACCAUAUAAAAGAGCCAUGAUGUCUGAGGUGCUGAGUACAGUGGAACUCUGAUUUCUCACUGCUAAUUUCCUGCAUCAUAUCGGGGCAGACGGGUUGCCUUCCACAUUAACAAUGUUCCAGUGCUGUUGUUGUAGAGACAACAGUCUUAUUUACAAAGCAGAGGUGUUCACUGGAGAAAUGCUGUACGCCGGCACAAUGAACAGUAUCUAUAUACAACUCCGUGGCACAAUGGAUUCAAGCCAUCGCAUCUGCCUCCCAAAAAGUAGAUUCAUUGGGGGCCACCCCCGAGGGGCUGUGAGUAACCCAUUGCUACAACUUUCCUUCCUUUGACCAUCUGUCCAUUUGGGUGACAAAAUCUAAAUCCAUUCACAUUAUUUUCAUUCUUAUGACUAGCAUACACUAAGCUAACAUGUGGAAUUGUUUAAGGACCCCUUAAGGUAUCCCCAAAAAUAUUUGAUGAAACAUUGAGUUUGGCCUUACUGCUCUUAGCCCAUAGAAAACAUCAUACAUGGAUGAACAGAUUAUCUAAAGAAAGUUUGUUCUGAAGUGUCUGUCCUAUAUCUGAGAGAUAUAAGAAAGAUCAGGAAACUAUUUAUAUAUAUGGUUUUUACAUGUAUUUAACCCCUUAUUUUAGGUACUAAACUAUCUUCAUAUAUACUUACAUUCAUUUUUUGUAACUGGUUCCACACUACCUUUAAACUAGUCUUGUGACGCUUGCAGGCUUCCUAGAGCAAAACACAUGUUUGUGAUAGUCUCAUCUUUCCAUAGAGGGGUCAUAAUAGUUUGCAGGCCAAACCCUUCGGAAGCUACAGACGUUUUUGUGAGAAGACCGAUUUUUGGGAUGUCUCAUGGUCUGACAAACACAGCUCUAGCUCUGCCAUCUUUCACCCUAGAUGCUGAAGGGUGACAUCGGCGGAUGUGAUGAAUUUAGACGCAGUCCAUGUAAAAAAUUCUCUCUAGCUUAAACUGAUGGAUUUUGAUGGGGAUUUUUGUUUAUGCUAAUUCGAUUUCCGCAGGGGCGCAGACAUAGACAUGAGGAGGGUUUAAACUGGUUGGAACAAGGGGAGAGAGUACAUCCCAAAAACUGUCAGCCAAGUUCUCCAAAAAGUUGUAUUAUGUGCAACCAGAGAUUCUGGGUUCGAGCCCAGGCUUAGCCGCAGCCGGCCGUGACCGGGAGGCUCAUGGGGCAACGCACAAUUGGCCCAGCUUUGUCAGGGUUAGGGAGGGUUUGGCCGGCAGGGAUAUCCUUGUCUCAUCGCGCACUAGCGACUCCUGUGGUGGGCCGGGCGCAGUGCAGGCUGACUAGGUCGCUAGGUGUACGGUGUUUCCUCCGACACAUUGGUGCGGCUGGCUUCCGGGUUGGAUGUGCGCUGUGUCAA